AAUUUUUUUAUUAAAUACAGUUUACAGCGAUGAAGACAUUAAUUUUGGCAUUUGUAUUUUGCGGGAGAAUACAAACAACAAGGUGUGGUAUGCCUUGGUACGUGGAGGAAACAAGUUAGACACAUAAGCACAUAUGUACUAGACGCAAAUAAUGUCACAAAAACGGUUUAAAAUAUCUGGUUUUCAGUUUGC